CAGCGCGUAGCUAAACAGCAUAGCAUCUCCCUUACACAGAGAAGAUACCCGUGCAACUCGAGUCGCACUGA
rnacentral:tRNA from 1 species